AUUCACCUGACGAGUCUUAAAUAGGACGGAACGUGCGUCAAACUGGAU
rfam:Schistosoma haematobium scaffold471_25, whole genome shotgun sequence.